UGGAUGGGAUUUUCUCAAGUACUUACCCUAAGAAGAAUCUGGUCAAGCUCCUGGAGGCAAAACUCAGAAAAAUACGACAGCCUCCCACGACUAGGUCCUUCUGGAAUUUUUAACUCUCAGACUUGCUCACACAGAGCCUCUAGCAAUUUGUUAAUUACAGUUCAGAUUUUUUUUUCAACUCAGGCUAUGGUUCCUGCAGUGAUUUCCACUUGUAAGUUUCCUGUCAGUCCUUCUUCUAGCUCAUUGUAGAUGCUAUGAUGAAUUCAGAGGAUGGUGAACAAGAUUCUAUAUGCAUCCUUUUCACUCUUCUGAUGACACAUCACUUGAAUAGCUUCAUGGGAAGCUCUCUUAGGAAACAAGGCCUUGAAAUUUCCCUCACAUACUAGCCCCAGUGGACCCUGUCUCUAUUCCAUAGAAAUGUUGCCCAGAAAUGAGCUCAUAGACCUUCUCAUCAUGGCCAGAGGCAAGCAGUACUGUCUGGGACACCAGGAGCAGAGGUCAGAGGCAAGCUCAACUUUCCUGAAAUAAUGUGCUGAUAUUUCCACUGCGAAAGAUCGGUCAUAGAUGGUGCCUAAAACUGACUCAGCUCUGGCCAGGGCAUAAGAGAGAAUGGGUUCUUGAAACUCCUUAAUCUCAUCGUCCAGAAUGGCCAAGGAAGUCAGUCAUUGUGGACUUCCCCUCUUGUGUCUCGGCCUCCUGUUCCUCACUGACUCUCUGGGUUCUACCCAGACUUCUGGGCCUCAUGCUCCACCAAUACUUAAAAUAAAAUGGUAGGCAGAAUGUCAUUGCACUUGACCUGGUCAUUUUCUUUUCAGGAAAACUCCCAUUCACAGUUUUACUCCCACAAGUUCAGAGGGAUCUACCCAACACUUGGCUGUAGCUGCUGGAUAUGUGACUGAGACAAUAGAGAUCAAGCGAAAUCACUUAGUAAAGGAGAUGUUAUUUGGUCUGAGUCCUGUGCCAGCCCUUACUGCUUUUGUACAUUGCCUGUGUUGUGCGUGGAUACCAAAGGGUUAUUUGAA
rnacentral:lncRNA from 1 species